rnacentral:misc_RNA from 1 species
UUUGACAGUCUAAUUUCAACCGCUGAACCAGUCGCAAGGAUCUACCGGGAAACCGUCUAGAACAGUUCGUGAAGAGUGAAGAUAAUCUCCCCUUUCCCCUAAAAAAAAAUUGAAUAAACCAAAACCAACAUGGCGAAGAAAGGGAAAGCCAAGGCUGGACCAGUGAAGGCGGAAGGCGCCGUCGAGCCAGCAACCACCGAUGUUGUCGAAGAAGCGAAGCCCGCCGAAGAACCCGCCGUCAAGGUCGCCGAACUGAAGACAGCAGCCGCGGGAGCACCAAAGAAGGAAGCAGCAGCCCCGAAACCAGCCAAACCCGUCGAGAAGAAACCGGAGGAGCAGAAGAAGGAAGCACCCAAGCCUGCCCAAGCUGACCAGAAGAAACCCAGCUCACCGAAGCUGGCCCAAAAAGCACCCGCAGCCAAGCCUGUCCAGAACGGUAACGCAACAACAACCGCUGGAGAAACUACGGACGCUGCCGGAACCGCAAGCGAAGCCGAAGGAGCCGCUACAGCCCUCAAGAAGCGUCGCAACCGUCGUCACCGCAAGAAGAAGUCCGAUGGACAGGAAGGACAGGACCAAACUCAGCCACAAGCUCCAACCAACGAGCAGAAGCCAAAGAAGGAGCACAAGAAGAAGCGCGCCAAGCGUCUGCGUGCUCUAGCCCUUGCGGAAUCCUCCGCCACGGCACAAAUUGCCGCCGCGGAAGGUGCCAUCGCCAGUGCCCCCGAUGCCAAGAAGCAACCCGAGAGCGUUGAAACGCUUCAGAAAAAGAUCGAAAUCGCCGAAAAGGUGCUCCACCAGGUUCAGCAGCAAACCCAGGAAAAACCCGAAGCACCAAAGCCGGAAUCACCGAAGCAACAGCAAAAGAACAAGCAACAGUCGAAGCUCGAGCAAGCCAAGGCCGAAGUGAAGAAGGCCGCCGAGGAGAAGGAACGCAUCCUGGCCGAAGCCAAAUCGCUCAUCUCGGACAAGGUCAAGAAGCAGCAGGAGGUGCAGAAGCUGCAAGAGGAAAAGACCAAGCAGGAAGAGCAGGCCAAGAAACUGCGCGAAGAAAAGGACCGCAAGCUGGAGGAAGCGGCAAAGCUCGUCCAGCAACACACCCGCAUCGAGAAGGUCGAGCAGGUGCUCGAGAAGGUGGAGCAGAAAAAGGCCGAGCAACAACCGCAACCGCAACAACAGCAAAAGCAACGCAAGGACUCCGAAUCGAACAAACAGAAGAAGCAACAACGCGACAGGAAGGAGUCCGAGUCUUCCAAGCAACAGCCAAAAAGCGAUGAUGGUAAAAAAGUAGCAGAGGAAAAGGUGGCUGCUGAAAAGGCCGCUGCAGAGAAGGCUGCUGCUGAUAAGGCUGCAAAGGAUAAGGCAGCAGCUGAAAAGGCCGCUGCCGAAAAGGCAGCAAAGGAAAAGGCUGCAGCUGAAAAGGCCGCUGCCGAAAAGGCUGCAGCUGAAAAGGCCGCUGCCGAAAAGGCUGCAGCUGAAAAGGCCGCUGCCGAAAAGGCAGCAAAGGAAAAGGCUGCAGCUGAAAAGGCCGCAAAGGAAAAGGCUGCUGCUGAAAAGGCUGCUGCCGAAAAGGCUGCUGCUGAAAAGGCUGCUGCCGAAAAGGCCGCUGCAGACAAGAAACAAUCCGAAAAGAAACCGAACGACAACAAAAAACAAGAACAGAAGGGUAACGGUAACAACAACAAGAAGAACAAGCGAACCCCGAAGAGCAGUGUAUCAGAAGACGAAAAGGCUACCGGUCCAAAAAACGUGGAAAGCAGCGAUUUUGUCUCAUCUGCUAAACCCGAGCCAGUUGUAGCAAAAUCGCAGGAAACCGUAACAGCAACCAAGCCCGCCUCCCCCGAGAAGACUGCACCAGCGAAACCGAAUGACCUGAAGAAGGCCCCAUCGCCACCAAAGACCAACGGAGGACCUGCGCAAAAGCCAGCCCCAGCGAAGCCCUCCAAAUCGCCAGAAAAGACAUUGCCUCCUAAAACUACACCCGCUAGUCCAGCGCCAGCGGCUCCCCUGAAGAAGGCCCCCUCUCCACCGAAGCAGGUCGCUUCCCGAGCAUCUCCAAAGCCCAGUACACCUCCGACCACUCCCAAACCCAACAAGAAGCCAGAACUUCCACCGAAACCCGAGUUCCUCAAGCGAAAGUCCCCUUCGGUAGAGAAGGAGAAGCUGCCAACGACGGCACAGGUACCGGCCAGUACAACCCCCGCCGCUCCCAGUCCUGUUCCUGCACCUGCUCCCGCCGCCAGUCCUGUCCCUGUCCCCGAAGAACCUUCUGCGUCCAAUCGCCUGUCGGAGGAACUGAACGGAUCAGCGAAGAAACCUGCCGCAAGCAACACGAAAGCGAAACCCCAGGCCAAGAAGCCCGAGGUCCCGCCCAAGCCCGACAUUCACAACAAGAACGCAGCCAAGAUGAAGACCCCGAUCAAACAGCCGGCCGCCGCUGGAACGAAAGCUCCGUCGUCUGAUUCCAGGUCCCCAGCCACGGAUCAAAGUAGAGCGGAAGCAUUUAAGAAAAAUAUGGAUAUUAUAUCCACCCUCGCCGAUAUCCUUUUGUCCCAUCCCAAGCGAAAGAAGGUCCCCACAGAGAAUCCCACUCCAUCCACCUCAUCCCAGACGGUAGAAACCAAAACCUCAAGCGAAGCCUCCUCAUUGUCACCAAAAAGUGCGCAAGAACCAAAACCGAAAUCGAGCCUCAAUCUGGAACGUAUCCUAUCGAUUCUGCAAACUACUCAAAAAGGAGGCCAAGAACCUCCACCGCGUAGUUCUGGUUCUCCCGACGAACCGCAACCAUCCACAUCGUCAUCCGCAUCGUCGACUCCAGCCGCAGCUGAUCCGCUUUCAUCCCUGCUAACCAAAGACGCGAUCCGUAUUCUGAUGCCUACCUUGCAGGAGGUGAACACAAAGUUCAACGUGGAGAAGCAGCUGGCAGCGCUGAACGCUACCGCAGCCGCUGCCAAGCUGAUGCCCAAGACGCUUCCACCGUGCAGCGAUACCACCGAAGAGGACGAGCUCGAGGAGGAGUUUCAAGAGGAGGAGGAGCAGAUCGAGUACAAGUUUGCUCCUCGUCCGGUAUUUCUAGCCACCAACUGUCAGGUAUGCAAAAACCCACUGCGGAACAUCGUGCAGUGCGAAACCUGCCGUAUGGUAUCGUACUGCAACGAAGAUCAUCGACGAUCGGACCUUGGGCCACACAAAGACCUUUGCGCUGUCAUCGUAGAACUUGCCACUCGAAGAGGUGGUCACAUCUACAACAUGGCCCACAAGCUGACCGACGACGAGUACCGCAACCUUCGCGUGCACACCCUCAACCAGUCCGAGCAGAUGCUACGCCGUCCACUGCAAGCGUUCGAGCGGGAGAUUCUCCUGUUCCCGCGCACCUGCAGCUCACCGAGCUGCCGCGAGUGGCGCCAGAACCUGCUGUCCGAGUGCAAGGACUGCCGCCAGGUGUCCUUCUGCACCGACCACCCAGACCAUCUGCCGGCCGCGCACAAGCAGUGGUGCAAGUCGUACUUCCUCUUCCAGAAGCUGAUCCUGCGCCAGAAGAUUCUCGGCCGCAUCGAGCCCGUCCUGCCGGUUCGCAUCGCGAGCAAAUCGUUCACCGUCCCGCCGAACAUCGACGAAGUCAUGAAGCUGCUGUACAAGAACUCGACCGUGCUCCGCGACGAGUGCGUCUACGCCACGUUGACCCAGAUCGCGACCGCACCGUUGACCGCACUGCACGGCUACCUGCAGACCGGCCUCAAGCCGAGCUCGGAAACCUUCACCAUCCAUCUGGUCGGUGCGGAGCUACAGUUCGAGGGUGACACUCUGGACAAGUGGGAAGCCUUCUUCCUUCACAUUGUGCCGGAGAUUACCGAGCUGCGGAUCGUCUUCGUCGGGCCCGAACUGAACGUCGAGAACCUGCCGAUCGACAUCAUCAGCCGGAUCAGCAUCUUAAGGUAACACGAAUGCGCUCGGUCCAACCAGCUUCUUCCUCCUGCAUCGGAUGUCCCACACCCGUAAGAUCGUUGUUGACCAAGAAUGUGCCGCCGGUGCCGUCUCCAAUGUCGCGUCGUCAAGUUUGACUUCCAGUGUCGUCGGUUCUACCACGACUACUGGCAAGAUACACCGUCGCCUUCGCCGUCACCGGACC